GAUGAACGCUGGCGGCGUGCCUAAUACAUGCAAGUCGAGCGAACGGACGCGAAGCUUGCUUUUCUGAUGAUAGCCGCGGACGGGAGAAUAACAUGUGGAUAACCUACCUUACAGACGGGGAUAACUUCGGAAAACCGGAGCAAACACCGGAUAAUCUUUUGAACCGCAUGGUUCAAAAGUGAAAGACGGUCUUGCUGUCUCUAAUAGAUGGUUCCGCGCUUCAUUAGCUAGUUGGUAAGGUAACGGCUUACCAAGGCAACGAUGCAUAGCCGACCUGAGAGGGUGAUCGGCCACACUGGAACUGAGACACGGUCCAGACUCCUACGGGAGGCAGCAGUAGGGAAUCUUCCGCAAUGGGCGAAAGCCUGACGGAGCAACGCCGCGUGAGUGAUGAAGGUCUUCGGAUCGUAAAACUCUGUUAUUAGGGAAGAACAUAUGUGUAAGUAACUGUGCACAUCUUGACGGUACCUAAUCAGAAAGCCACGGCUAACUACGUG
rnacentral:rRNA from 1 species